UGGCGGACGGGUGAGUAACGCGUGGGUAACCUGCCUCAUACAGGGGGAUAACAGUUAGAAAUGACUGCUAAUACCGCAUAAGACCACAGCACCGCAUGGUGCAGGGGUAAAAACUCCGGUGGUAUGAGAUGGACCCGCGUCUGAUUAGGUAGUUGGUGGGGUAACGCCUACCAAGCCGACGAUCAGUAGCCGACCUGAGAGGGUGACCGGCCACAUUGGGACCGAGACACGGCCCAA
rnacentral:rRNA from 1 species